rnacentral:hammerhead_ribozyme from 1 species
GCACUGCUGAGGAGUCCCACAACAGGACGAAACGGCCGCCCAGUGU